UUGGUGUUAAAAAUUAACUUGCAUUUUGUGUUGACAUUCAUAGAGAAAAAUAAGUGACAAUAAGAAAUUAUGUUUUCUAAAAAGUGAGUGAAAGAAAACAGAAAUGAUACAGAUUUAAAAGCAGUGGCCCUAGCAUGCAGCCCUGAGAAACAUAAACUCCUGACAAACCACCAUUUGUCAGGUAAAAUCAGAUCCUAAAGUUUUAAAGUAUAAAUAAUUCCCAAAUCAACUUUUUUUUUUUUUUUUGCUGAUAAACUGUUGAAAUAGGUUAUUUAGGGUUCUUUAUGUUUCUGUGCAAAUUUUGACAUUUUCAGGCAAGUUUGCUUCGGAUCUAUAACCGUUUUGCUGCCGGCCUCUGGUUGAUUGGUGCCUAUGCAGUUGAAUUUUCCUAUUCCUUGCAGCAGUUCAGUUUGGUACAACUUUGUCACAGCCCUGCGUUCAGGUCUAGAACCAUCUCACUCCGCCCCUGUCUGGCCAGCUGGUCUUUGCUAGCCUUU